GGUGAAAAGCACCCCGGAAGGGGAGUGAAAUAGAACCUGAAACCGUGUGCUUACAAGUAGUCAGAGCCCGUUAAUGGGUGAUGGCGUGCCUUUUGUAGAAUGAACCGGCGAGUUACGAUUUGAUGCAAGGUUAAGCAGUAAAUGUGGAGCCGUAGCGAAAGCGAGUCUGAAUAGGGCGUUUAGUAUUUGGUCGUAGACCCGAAACCAGGUGAUCUACCCUUGGUCAGGUUGAAGUUCAGGUAACACUGAAUGGAGGACCGAACCGACUUACGUUGAAAAGUGAGCGGAUGAACUGAGGGUAGCGGAGAAAUUCCAAUCGAACCUGGAGAUAGCUGGUUCUCUCCGAAAUAGCUUUAGGGCUAGCCUCAAGUGAUGAUUAUUGGAGGUAGAGCACUGUUUGGACGAGGGGCCCCUCUCGGGUUACCGAAUUCAGACAAACUCCGAAUGCCAAUUAAUUUAACUUGGGAGUCAGAACAUGGGUGAUAAGGUCCGUGUUCGAAAGGGAAACAGCCCAGACCACCAGCUAAGGUCCCAAAAUAUAUGUUAAGUGGAAAAGGAUGUGGCGUUGCCCAGACAACUAGGAUGUUGGCUUAGAAGCAGCCAUCAUUUAAAGAGUGCGUAAUAGCUCACUAGUCGAGUGACACUGCGCCGAAAAUGUACCGGGGCUAAACAUAUUACCGAAGCUGUGGAUUGUCCUUUGGACAAUGGUAGGAGAGCGUUCUAAGGGCGUUGAAGCAUGAUCGUAAGGACAUGUGGAGCGCUUAGAAGUGAGAAUGCCGGUGUGAGUAGCGA
rnacentral:rRNA from 1 species